UGGCGCAAUGGUAGCGCGCGGUCCUCCUACGACUGUAAGGUUGUAAGACUGAGGUUGCGGGUUCGAGUCCCGU
rnacentral:tRNA from 1 species